AUAGCAUGCAGUUCGAGCGCGAACUGUUAGCAAUACAGGGAGAGCGGCGAAAGGGAGAGUAAUACGCAGGUACCUACCCCCGGGCCUGGGAUAGCGGCGGGAAACUGCCGGUAAUACCAGAUGAUGUCUCCGGACCAAAGGUGUGAUUCCACCUGGGGAGGGGCCUACGGCCUAUUAGCUUGUUGGUGGGGUAACGGCUUACCAAGGCAAAGAUGGGUAUGGGGCGUGAGAGCGUGUUCCCACUCACUGGGACUGAGAACUGCCCAGACACCUACGGGUGGCUGCAGUCGAGAAUCUUCGGCAAUGGGCGAAAGCCUGACCGAGCGACACCGCGUGCGGGAUGAAGGCCUUCGGGUUGUAAACCGCUGUCGUAGGGGAGGAAGGGCCUGCGAAGAGCAGGACUUGACCGAUCCUAGGAGGAAGGGCCGGCUAAUCUCGUGCCAGCAGCCGCGGUAAUACGAAAGGCCCAAACGUUAUUCGGAUUUACUGGGCUUAAAGAUUUCGUAGGCGGCUUGGAAAGUGGGGUGUGAAA
rnacentral:rRNA from 1 species